rnacentral:rRNA from 1 species
CCCUUAGAUGUCCUGGGCCGCACGCGCGUUACACUGAUGCAUUCAACGAGCUUAUAACCUUGGCCGAGAGGCCUGGGCAAUCUUGUUACGUGCAUCGUGAUAGGGAUAGAUUAUUGAAAUUAUUAAUCUUGAACGAGGAAUUCCUAGUAAACGCAGAUCAUCAAUCUGCAUUGAUUACGUCCCUGCCCUUUGUACACACCGCCCGUCGCACCUACCGAUUGGAUGGUCCGGUGAAGCCUCGGGAUUGUGGUUCUUGCCGCUUUAUUGUGGCGUGACCGCGAGAACUUGUCUAAACCUUAUCAUCUAGAGGAAGGUGAAGUCGUAACA